GAUGAACGCUGGCGGCGUGCCUAAUACAUGCAAGUCGAGCGAACAGACGAGGAGCUUGCUCCUCUGACGUUAGCGGCGGACGGGUGAGUAACACGUGGAUAACCUACCUAUAAGACUUGGAUAACUUCGGGAAACCGGAGCUAAUACCGGAUAAUAUAUUGAACCGCAUUGUUCAAUAGUGAAAGACGGUUUUGCUGUCACUUAUAGAUGGAUCCGCGCCGCAUUAGCUAGUUGGUAAGGUAACGGCUUACCAAGGCGACGAUGCGUAGCCGACCUGAGAGGGUGAUCGGCCACACUGGAACUGAGACACGGUCCAGACUCCUACGGGAGGCAGCAGUAGGGAAUCUUCCGCAAUGGGCGAAAGCCUGACGGAGCAACGCCGCGUGAGUGAUGAAGGUCUUCGGAUCGUAAAACUCUGUUAUUAGGGAAGAACAAAUGUGUAAGUAACUAUGCACGUCUUGACGGUACCUAAUCAGAAAGCCACGGCUAACUACGUG
rnacentral:rRNA from 1 species